rnacentral:lncRNA from 1 species
CCCAAAUUUGAAAGGCCCAACUAUCACCCAUUUAUCCAAAUACUGAUUGAACCUCGUAAACACUAAACAGAUGUGCGAUUGAAAGAAUGAAAGGGUAGCAAAUUAAACAGGCUACAGGCGUGCGAUGGAAACCUCGUAAUCUGCUGUGUCGAUUGAGUAACCCGAGGAUGGAAUCAUUCGCAAUUUAAGGUCGUAGGGCGGACGUUAGGGAUUUCAGAUUCGGGGGUAAUCUCACAUCUCAAUCUCAAUUGACAAACAGCGAGUGUGGGCGUCGGAUUGCUGAACCAUCCAACCAGGGAGACGUGGGACUGAAAUCUAUGGAAUCAUGUCGAGAGGGACUCAAGCAUGAAUGGCUAACGGGUCAAGAAGUGGCGAGGAAACGGAUAUGAACACAGAUGCAUGAGGUAAGUGAUUUCCGCAAUCACUUCUUAGUUGUUUACGUAGAGUUAUGUGCUAGUUAAUUAAGUAUGAUAAGUGAGACAAAUAAUGGAUGGGUUGCAUGAAACCAAUGAUUUUCGCUAAGUAGAUGUAACGGGUCAAAAAUGAGGUCUUGAUGUUAUAAUGGAAUGGAGAAUAAGAAAUGUUUAUAGUAUGAUAACCGGGUAACGGGUAUGAUUGCGCAUAAGUACGCUAAUGGGUAAGCAGAAGCACGGAUAAUGUAAAAGUAUUAUAGUUAUAACGUUUAUGUAAGUUUUGGGUUAAAACGAAUGAGCAGUUUAACAAAAACAUGAAUGGGUCGAAUAAGUGAAAGCGGGUAUAUAAAGCCGAGAGCUUAAGUGAAUAUUUUCCUUAAACCAGAUGUUGGAUUUCAAGUUCAUAUGAUAGAAUGUGAAUUUACAAGCAGGUAGGAAGAAACGGGAGGUUAAACGAGUAAACGGUUCAAAAGUUAUGCGUGUUUUAGUGCAUACGGAGGACGAAACAUAGCUGCAGCAAGAAACACCUCUUAACUUAAGAGGAGUGCAAAAGAAACACAUCUUAACUUAAGAGGAGUGCAGCAAGAAACACCUCUUAACUUAAGAUGAGUGCAAAAGAAACACAUCUUAACUUAAGAGGAGUGCAGCAAGAAACACCUCUUAACUUAAGAGGAGUGCAAAAGAAACACCUCUUAACUUAAGAGGAGUGCAAAAGAAACACCUCUUAACUUAAGAGGAGUGCAAAAGAAACACAUCUUAACUUAAGAGGAGUGUAAAAGAAACACAUCUUAACAUAAGAGGAGUUCAACAGAACACCUUUUAACUUAUGCGCCUCCCAAACAUGAUUUUGAUCGUCCCUUUGACGUUUAUGGGCUAUAAAUCUAAGUCUAAGUGCCAUGUAACCAAUGUAUGGGUAUAUAAGAGGUAUGUAAGAUCUUGAACGUGUAUGUGGUAAUGUAUGUGUGUAAGUAGAUGUGUAUUUGUGUAUAUGUGAAGACAUGUAUGUGUAUAUGUAUGUAUGUGGAGAUGUAGUAAUGAAUGAGCAUAUGUAGAUGUGUAUUAGGAAUACAUGAAGGUACGUAUGAGUGUAUGCAUGUAUGUAGAGAUAUAGGAAGGAAUGUAUGUAUGUAGAUGUGUAUUAGGAAUACAUGAAGGUACGUAUGAGUGUAUGCAUGUAUGUAGAGAUAUAGGAAGGUAUGUAUGUAUGUAGAUGUGUAAGUAUACAUGUAAGAAUGUAUAUAUGUAUGUAAGAAUUUAUGAGUAAUACGAUAUUAAUAGUGUGCUUUGAGAAUGAAAAGUAAUGCAGGUACAUAACUGGAGCCUCACCAGGAUAUGGAUACGCAGAUGAAAUGCUUAAAGAUUAUGAAAGACAACGAAACGGAAAGUUGUACCAGAAUGAAUCUUGCUUAUAUAUACUGUGUACUAAUGUUAUGAAUGUAUGUGGUGAGUGCAGGUGGUACAGAAUUAGGGAUCAACAUGAUGGAAGGCUAGUGAUUGAAGAUCGAGUGAUAGAGACAUAGAUUGUACAGAAUGGGUGGUCAUGUAAUUUGUAUUAGUAUGUUAUUAUCGAUACGUUAGUGAAAAAUAAACAAUGUAGUUUCUUACGUAAAGAUGUUUUUAAAUGAUUCUCAAAUAUAAAGGAAUGUUUAAGAAAGAAAUU